AACGAACGCUGGCGGCGCGCCUAAUACAUGCAAGUCGAGCGAGAAGACGUAGCAAUACGUUUGUAAAGCGGCGAACGGGUGAGGAAUACAUGGGUAACCUACCCUCGAGUGGGGAAUAACUAGCCGAAAGGUUAGCUAAUACCGCGUACGCUCCUUGGACUUCGGUUCAGGGAGGAAAGCGAUACCGUGGGUAUCGCGCUCUUGGAUGGGCUCAUGUCCUAUCAGCUUGUUGGGAGGUAACGGCUCACCAAGGCUUCGACGGGUAGCUGGUCUGAGAGGACGAUCAGCCACACUGGCACUGCGACACGGGCCAGACUCCUACGGGAGGCAGCAGUAAGGAAUAUUGCGCAAUGGGCGAAAGCCUGACGCAGCGACGCCGCGUGGGGGAUGAAGGUCUUCGGAUUGUAAACCCCUUUCGGGAGGGAAGAUGGAACGAGCAAUCGUUCGGACGGUACCUCCAGAAGC
rnacentral:rRNA from 1 species